GGGCACGUAGCUCAGUUGGAUAGAGCACUAGAUUCCGGUUCUAGGUGUCGGGGGUUCGAAUCCCUCCGUGCUCG
rnacentral:tRNA from 3 species